UACAGAGGUCUCAAGCAUUGUUCGGAUUCAUUGGGCGUAAAGGGUGCGUAGGCGGCGCGGUAAGUCGGGUGUGAAAUCUCGGGGCUUAACUCCGAAACUGCAUUCGAUACUGCCGUGCUUGAGGACUGGAGAGGAGACUGGAAUUUACGGUGUAGCGGUGAAAUGCGUAGAUAUCGUAAGGAAGACCAGUGGCGAAGGCGGGUCUCUGGACAGUUCCUGACGCUGAGGCACGAAAGCAUGGGGAGCGAACAGG
rnacentral:rRNA from 1 species